AUGCAUCAUCAGUUUUUGAUUUAUGUAUUUUCCGGGGUUGCUUCAUAUGUUUUAUUCAAAGCUGGCACUUGGCCAAGGCCAUCACAGGAAAAUUUUCCAACAUACUUGUUAUGGUUACGACACAACAUGCACACAAUGGUACUCGACGCCUCAUUUAAAUUGUCUUUAGGGACUGCCAGUUUAGCAUCAUAUGUCAUAUGA